rnacentral:rRNA from 1 species
CACUUUAAAGAGACUGCCGGUGUUAAACCGGAGGAAGGUGGGGAUGACGUCAAGUCCUCAUGGCCUUUAUGCCCAGGGCUACACACGUGCUACAAUGGGUGGUACAAAGAGCAGCCAGCUCGCGAGAGUGAGCAAAUCUCAAAAAGCCAUCCUCAGUUCGGAUUGAAGUCUGCAACUCGACUUCAUGAAGUUGGAAUCGCUAGUAAUCGCGGAUCAGCAUGCCCGCGGUCGAAUACGUUCCGGGCCUU